UGGGGGAUAUUGCACAAUGGGCGAAAGCCUGAUGCAGCGACGCCGCGUGGGGGAUGAAGGCCUUCGGGUUGUAAACUUCUUUUGCUCUGAACAAGGCGCACCAUGGGGUGUGUUGAGUGUAGGGGUUGAUUAGCGCCGGCUAACUACGUGCCAGCAGCCGCGGUAAUACGUAGGGCGCGAGCGUUGUCGGGAAUUAUUGGGCGUAAAGGGCUUGUAGGUGGCUGGUUGCGUCUGUCGUGAAAGCUCAUGGCUUAACUGUGGGUUUGCGGUGGGUACGGGCUGGCUUGAGUGCAGUAGGGGAGGCUGGAAUUCCUGGUGUAGCGGUGGAAUGCGCAGAUAUCAGGAGGAAUACCGGUGGCGAAGGCGGGUCUCUGGGCUGUUACUGACACUGAGGAGCGAAAGCAUGGGGAGCGAACAGG
rnacentral:rRNA from 1 species